UACGUAGGGCGCAAGCGUUGUCCGGAAUUAUUGGGCGUAAAGAGCUUGUAGGCGGCCAGUUGCGUCCGCUGUGAAAUCCCGGGGCUUAACCCCGGGCGUGCAGUGGAUACGGGCUAGCUGGAGGCAGGCAGGGGAGAACGGAAUUCCCGGUGUAGCGGUGAAAUGCGCAGAUAUCGGGAGGAACACCGGUGGCGAAGGCGGUUCUCUGGGCCUGUACUGACGCUGAGGAGCGAAAGCGUGGGGAGCGAACAGG
rnacentral:rRNA from 1 species